UACGUAGGGGGCUAGCGUUGUUCGGAUUUACUGGGCGUAAAGCGCACGUAGGCGGAUAUUUAAGUCAGAGGUGAAAUCCCAGGGCUCAACCCUGGAACUGCCUUUGAUACUGGAUAUCUUGAGUAUGGAAGAGGUGAGUGGAAUUCCUAGUGUAGAGGUAAAAUUCGUAGAUAUUCGGAGGAACACCAGUGGCGAAGGCGGCACACUGGGCCAUUACUGACGCUGAGGUGCGAAAGCGUGGGGAGCAAACA
rnacentral:rRNA from 1 species